AAGAAAGAAAGUGGGUGUCUGCGUGGCAUAUGAAAAGUGGGAGGAGAGUAAGAGAGAGAAAGGCGUCCAGAGGUUUCUUCUGAUGGUAGAGAGAGACAAGCGACGGUGGCCGGCAGAGGUCCGAUACGGCGGCGGUUGCCGUCAACGUAGAAGAGAAAGUUGAAGAUCGCGACGAGUUUGGCGACAUCGAAAGAAGGUCAGCUUACUAUUGACACUAUUGAUGACAUACAAAAAUUACAUAUGAUUGCUCCUGGUGGCAGAUAUACGAAGCUUGCUUCCAAAUUGGUUAUAUUUAACACUACACAUAGCAAAAGUCCUAGAUUAGCCACCAGGAACAAUCUAGGACUUUUGCUAUUUGUAGUGUGAAAUACAAUCCAACGAGUGGUGAAGACUCUGAAAUGCAGUUAUCCAGACUUUUCAUUUGAAAUCAACUUAUUCUCUUGACACAAAUAAGAAUGGUUGGUUUAUAAUUAGCUGCUCAUUCUCAGAUGAUAUUAAUGUUUAUUAUGGGUUGCCAGUCUUAAAAGAACCAAGAGAAGUAAGUUGAUAAAUUUGUAUUUUUUUCCCGCAUUGUUGAGAACUCAGGGAAGGAGAUUUUGAUGUAAGGGUACAUUAUGCGUGUGAAUUUUUGUGUAUUUUCUGGCAUAGACUCGAAGGUGGUGCGGGAAGAAUUGCUCUUACAUGGCAUUCACAAACAUUAUGAUGGCCAUGAGAGAACCUAGUUGAGACCAUAAUUCACCCAUUUCUCUCAUUUUUUCUUUUUCAGA